GGAGGUAACAUGGCGUAACAUGGAGGUAACAUGGCGUAACAUGGAGGUAACAUGGAGGUAACAUGGAGGUAACAUGACGUAACAUGGAGGUAACAUGACGUAACAUGGAGGUAACAUGGAGGUAACAUGGCGUAACAUGGCGUCUAGUGAACUGCCUCAGCAAGAAUCAACACCAGUGUUCA